UACGGAGGGUGCAAGCGUUGUCCGGAUUUAUUGGGUUUAAAGGGUGCGUAGGCGGCCCAUUAAGUCCGUGGUGAAAUCCCAGGGCUCAACCCUGGAACUGCCGUUGAUACUGGCGGGCUUGAGUUCGGUCGAGGCGGGCGGAACUGGUGGUGUAGCGGUGAAAUGCAUAGAUACCCUCAAGAACACCGAUUGCGUAGGCAGCUCGCUUGGCCGAAACUGACGCUGAGGCACGAAAGCGUGGGGAGCGAACAGG
rnacentral:rRNA from 1 species